rnacentral:rRNA from 1 species
CCGCAUAAAAUGGAUUAUCGCAUGAUAAUCCAUUGAAAGGUGCAAAUGCAUCACUACCAGAUGGACCUGCGUUGUAUUAGCUAGUUGGUGGGGUAACGGCUCACCAAGGCGACGAUACAUAGCCGACCUGAGAGGGUGAUCGCCCACACUGGGACUGAGACACGGCCCAGACUCCUACGGGAGGCAGCAGUAGGGAAUCUUCGGCAAUGGACGGAAGUCUGACCGAGCAACGCCGCGUGAGUGAAGAAGGUUUUCGGAUCGUAAAGCUCUGUUGUAAGAGAAGAACGAGUGUGAGAAGUGGAAAGUUCACAC